CAGGGGGACUCUUUCCAGCUUGCUUCCCCAAGGCUUGGCGAGGGGCCCUCACAGCCGCCCCCUCCUAUCCCCUGACUCUUGAGGGAGGGCCAUUCCCUCGCUGUGCGACCUUGGUUGGGCAAUGAAAUGGUUGGACUAGGUGAUCUCGAAAGUCCCUUCCAGUCCUCGCUUCUCUGCUACUCUCGUUUUUAAAAAGGAAUAAGAACAGCUCCCACCUCUCCAGUACUUUUAAGCAUCACUUCCUGCGAGAGGGAUUUGGCCAUGGAACUCAACCCUGGAGGAGCUCGAGGUGAGACCUCAGACUGCUUCCCUUCAGAUGAUCAUGUGAGGAUGCCCCAAACCCUGUCCCGAGGCACUUCUUGAUGGAAAUCACUGCCCUGCUGCCUGCAGAAUCCUUCCUGGGGACUGAAUGUGUCAUUUACAAACUUGGCCACAAGAUGUCACCCCAGGAAAAGCCAAGGUGAAAAGCAACAAGAACUGUGUUUGGAAAUAAAAAUGAGAGAGGGGGAAAAACCUCAGCAACACAUAAUUGUUGGUCCCAUUUCUCAGUUUA